GCAAGAGUCACAACAAGAGAAAUACAGCUUAAGCCAGACAGAAAGGUAUCGGAGGGAGAGAUCAAACGACUAACGAGACAGGAAAAGAGAGAAAAUCAAACAGAGCGACCACUGCACAGGUGUCCUAAAAGUGAAGUUUGUUGAGACCCUGUCAACAGCUGCCACUAACUCUAAAGGAGGUGCGUCAUGUCUGUGUCCAGCAUGCUGCUGCUGGCUGGUCUGGUGCUGCUCCUGCUGCUGCUGGUCUGGAGGAGGAGGGGACCACAGGGGCUUCUACUGCCCCCAGGCCCCACUGGACUGCCCCUGCUGGGAAACCUGCCCCAAGUGAACAAGAGAGCGCCCUUUGAGACCUUCUUGAAGUGGAGCAAGCAGUAUGGGCCCGUCAUGACUGUGCGUCUCGGACCCCAGCGGAUGGUGGUCCUCAGUGGGUACAAGGUAGUGAGGGAGGCGCUAGUGGACCAGUCAGAUGACUUUGCAGGCAGGGCACAAGUCCCAUUCAUCGAUAAGCUUUUCAAGGGGCAUGGUCUGGCAAUCAGUAACGGUGAGCGCUGGCGCCAGCUGAGACGCUUCACACUGAGCACGCUCAGAGACUUUGGGAUGGGCCGCAAGAGGAUGGAGCAGUGGACUCAGGAGGAGAGCCGACACCUGCUGGAGAGCCUGAGAGAAACCAAGUCGACUCCGUUCGACCCAACAUUCUUCCUGAGCCGCGCCGUGUCCAACGUGAUCUGUGCUCUAGUGUUUGGACAGCGCUUCAGUUAUGAAGACGUCAACUUCCUGCGUCUUCUGCGCAUCAUUGGAGCUACAAUACGUUUUGCAAGCAGCCCCAUGGGACAGCUGUACAACCUCUUCCCCAAGCUGAUGGAUCACCUCCCUGGGCCCCAUCACAAUGUCUUCAGGCAGAUGGAGCAACUUAGGAUCUUUAUUAUAGAGAAGAUCCACCAGCAUAAAGAGACUCUGGACCCAGACAACCCUCGAGACUACAUCGACUGUUUUCUCAUCAGACUCAACCAGGAGAAGGACCUGCCUGAAUCUGAGUUCAUCUAUGAUAACAUGGUAGCUACCGCCCUGAAUCUCUUCAUGGCUGGUACCGAGUCCACCAGCAACACCAUCCGAUACGGCCUCAUGUUGCUUAUCAAGUACCCAGAUAUUCAAGAGCACAUGCAGAAGGAGAUUGACGGGUUGCUCGGCCAACAAGGCGUCCCACGAAUGGAAGAGAGGAAGUCCCUCCCCUUUACUGAUGCUGUCAUUCAUGAAGUUCAGCGCUGCAUGGACUUUGCACCCCUCAGUGUCCCCCACUAUGCCACCAAGACCAUCUCAUUCAGAGACUACAUCAUUCCUAAGGACACAGUAAUCAUUCCCAUGCUACACUCUGUGCUCCGGGACGAGGAUUAUUGGGAGGACGCCUGGGCCUUUAACCCAGAGCACUUCCUGGACCAAAAUGGCAACUUCAAGAAGAACCCAGCCUUCCUUCCCUUCUCUGCAGGUAAGCGGGCGUGUGUGGGAGAGUCACUAGCGCGGAUGGAGCUUCUGCUCUUCCUGGUGUCCAUAGUGCAGCAUUUCCACCUCAGCACCCCUGGAGGACCGUCCAGUCUGGACAUAAAGCCCGAGUUCAGCAGCUUUGUCAAAGUCCCUGCUCAGUAUCAGCUCGUUGUCACCCCCCGCUGAUUGACAUUGGUACUGCAUGCCAGUACUUAAAGAUGUUUUACACACUGAGAGAGACCGUUACCCUCAUUUCCUGGGCGGAGAGCUCCCCACUCUAUUAGAGAACUAACAGGAACCUGAAAAAAACAAAAGGAGAGAGAAAGAGUGAGAACAAGCAUCUGUGUGUAAGUGAGUGAGAAAGAGAGAGAGAGAGAGAGAGAGAUAAAGAGAGAGAGAGAGUUAAGGAUAGAGAAAGGGAGAAGUUAGCAGAACAGGGUGCUCACACUAAUCAUUUUGUUACAGUCUUGUCAAGCUCUGACAAGCAGGGCAGAGGAUUGGACUAGUAAGAAAAGAGUGAGUGCAGGGAGAGAGAGAGAGAGAGAGUGCAGGGAGAGAGAGAGAGAGAGCAGGGAGUCAGUGUGAACCACAUGCCGAUAGUGAACGAGAGAGAGAGGGAGAGAGAAAGAAGAGAGAGAGAGAGAGAGAGAGAGAGGGCAGACAAGAGGAGGUGUUCAUGAGGAAACGCUGCAGAAGUCAAAGGGCAUAAAAGCGGACACACGACCACAAGGAAUCCAGGAAAGAGAGAGAGAGAGAGAAAGAGUACGAGAGAGAUAGAGGGAGAGAGAGAGAAAAAGAAAGAGAGAGGGACCGCAACCCGAUCCUUUUGGUGAACACGACGAGUUGAGAACACUUGUAGCUCCUUGCUCCUGCUGUUUCGCCACCACUGCUGCCGCACAACAGUUCACAGUCUUCACAGAGCGCCGGGUGGACUCCAGUGAAGAAAACACCUUGCGUCACUCACACCCGCUCUCCGCCCAGGAGGGGACUUUUCUUGUCUACGGACGGCAGAGGAGAACCACAGAGGCGUGGGAAUCGAAGGACGCAGGUACGGACCCAG